rnacentral:tRNA from 1 species
GGGGAAUUAGCUCAAAUGGUAGAGCACUUGUUUAGCAUGUGUGAGGUAGCAGGAUACAUGCCUGCAUUCUCCA